UUAAGGACGGACCAUUAGAAAAGUGAUGGGGGGGGGGAGGGGAUUUUCUAAGAGGCAAUAUUUUUUUUUUUUGUACACCUAUAGAAGAAAUAUAUUUUUUUUCUCACUUGAUGGUUGGAAAUAUUUUUUUUUUAAGUGAAAUUUAUAGGCCUAUCAGUGGUGUAGUCCUGGAAUUUUAACAAGGGGGGCUCUCCAAAGUGUCCUGAAUUGGCGGGAGGGGUGUACAAUAAGAUAUUUUGGAAAUUCUAAAUUUUGUUGGGGUUUAUUCUAAAAAUUGUGGGACAAACAUUCGACGUUAUUCUUAUUAAAAACAAAGGGGCUGAAAGCGAGGGCCGAAGGCCCGAGGAAAUUUUUAAAUUUAGAGUCUCUGAAAUGCCAUUUCCUGGACUUUGGGGAAGAUUUGACAGAAUUCUGAUGGUCAGAAAACAGCGUUUUAGUAUGUCGAAAUUUACAAUUUAGUAGUAUUAAAUGGGCGAAGGCGUAUUUAGUUAACUAUAUAUUGGAUAAAUUGCAGGAAAUUAUAGGUAAUAUCUUCAUUCUUUGCAAUUUGUCAUGGAUAAUGUACAGCUUACAAUUAAUCAAUUGUCAGUGUUUUAAAGAUAUAUUAUUUAAAUGUAUCGAGUAGCUAAAGAUUUGUCCUUGGCACAUAUGGUAAAGACUCUACAAUGUUUGCCUCUGACCGUAUAGUGAUGACGUAAACUUUAUAUAGGUCUAUGCGCCGAGGGGACUGACCUAACCUUGGCAGCCUAUACUUGCAAUGGGGGGCGGUGAGCUAACCUGUGCCUUGCCCGCGGUAGGAACGAGUGCUGCCUGCUCUCUCAGGCAAAAUGUCUCUUCACCCUGCUGACGAAUGCUAGAGGACACAUGAUUUUGUCAAAAGAAUGAUUAUUAGCAAAUUAUUGGGGGGGGGGCUGCAGCCCCUGUUGAAGCCCCUCCCGUUGGGGCCUACAGCCCUGGAUAGAGUUUAAAUCAGACAAAACAGGAUCGGUAUUUCAACAGCCAAUUUGCUACGGCGCAUGAACAACGCGGUAUAAAGAUUACAAAAAUCAUUAUUGUGUUAAAUGAUGACUGAAAAUGAGAUACAAUUCUAAAGAACAUUCUCGUUUACUGAUAUUUUUGUGUGUGUUUUUGACGUUGUUAAGAUUAUGCAACGCGCCAAAAACAUAGGGGGGGCUCAGCCCCUCCAAGUCAACAUGAAAUUUUAACAAGGGGUGCUAAGCACCCUCCAGCCCUCCCUCCACUACACCACUUGGCCUAUCUUCUAAGCAAGGAAUUUUUUUUUUUGCACUAUGCCUGGGAAGAUUUUUUUUUUCUUAAUUUUUUUCUGGAAAUAAUUUUUUUUUUUGGUUUUGCCCCC
rnacentral:lncRNA from 1 species